AAAAAUGUUGUGCUUACUGAUUUAGAAAGAAAAAGAUCUAAUGAAAAUCUUAGAAGUGUGCUGUUUAUGAUUAUAAUAAUUAACAACCUUUUUUUUAUUUACUUUUUUCAUCAUUUUAGUGGGAAUGAGUGUGUGAGAGUGUCGAAGCAGCAGUAAUGGCAUCAGGGGGAGACAGCAGGGCCUCUGCAGAGGAAGAGGGGGGUGUCCCACUGGACAUUGAUGAUAUGCACUUACUCUUACAAGUGGAACAGGAGCAGAUUCAGAAGAGGACAUUCACAAACUGGAUCAAUGCGCAGCUCUCCAAGGUAAACCCAUGAACAACUCAUAACUUACUGUAAUGACUCCAACUAUUGUAUGUAGUCUAGAAGAGUUAGGAGUCAAACUGAGGCCGUAGCUGAAUCGCUGACUCACUGGGCAGCAAGGAAGGUCUGUUCUGCUCUGUCUGCCUUUGAGCAUUGCAUAUGGCAAGGAGAUUGAUUUAUUUAUAGGCAGUGGUGCACUUCAGCAGCCUGUAACAUGAGCCAUUGAGCUCGUCCACCAACACUUGGCCGCGUUUUAAACGCAAGCGCUCUUAAACCUCCUGCAAGUGAUAACCUGUGUGGAGCUCCAGUGAUCUCUCUGUAUAGCUAGUGUUUACAUCAGAUUAACCCUUUGAUGCAUGAAUUACAUUUUUAAAAGUCACGAAAUAUCAAUACUCAUUUCCAAACCACUUUUAUUUUAAUAACCGUAAAUUGACAUUCCCAGAAUUCCCUGCGUUACAUUUCAAAUUUGAUGUUUAUUUUUUAUUGAACUAACUAUGAUUCUUCUUAGUUUUUUCUUAUCAGUUUUGUAUAUUAGGGUUGUGUGUUACACCUAAUGUUGUUAAAUGAAUGGUUAUUGCAUUAUCUCAGUUUUAUGUGUGUUACCAUGAUGGUGUUUACUGUUUGCGUGAAUGUCACUGUGCACCUUUUAUAUAUGUUAAUAUUUAAAAGCUGCUUGUGAUGGGCUUUGGCUCAUCAUGUGACUUUCUCAUCACCACCUGCAUUUGGUGGUUAUCAGUAUAUUACAAGGGUACAAAACAGAUUUCAGUACUUCCAUAGGUUGGUAUAUUAACAUCAUAUCAGGUAAUGAAAUUACGGUAUUUAACUGUAAAUUUAAGUUAAAACCUUAAAACCUAAAAUGUUGCUACCAUAUUUUUACGGUAAAAUUCCGGCAACCACAGCUGCCGUUUUUUUACCGUAAAUUUUACAGAAGCUUUUUUUUUUACAGCGUUGAACAUAAAAGAAGAUAUUUUGAAGAAUGCUGGUAAUCCAACAGUUGAUGGUCCCCCAUUGACUUCCAUAGUACUUCUUUCCCUACUGUGGAAAACAACCAACAACUGUUUGGUUCUUCAAAAUAUCUGUGUGUCCAACAUAAGAAAGAAAUUCCUAGAUGUUUUGAAUGACAUGAGGAUGAGUAAAUUGACAAAAUGAACAUUUUUGGGUGAAAUAUGCCUUUAUAUACGGAGAUUAUACUCAGACUCAGAGGAAAAAAAACUCCUCAAUUUUAUUUAGAGGCCCAUACUGAGCAAAGAUAUGUAAUUUAGUGCAACUGCUGAUAUUUUUAUGACAAAAAAAAAUUAUAAACUUUUGAACUUACUAUAAAGGUAUAAAAUUUUGAUCAUGUUGCUCAUUUAAAGGCUUAACAAUUUUUGAUCAAAUGAUAUAGUAGGCUUUAGGGUUAAUAUAAUAAGUUAAUAAUAAUUAAUAAAUGAAUAAUAUAUUCAAUUAUAUUUUUCUAC
ensembl:lncRNA